UCUCUCGUAGUUCAGUAGGGAGAACAACUGGCUGUUAACCAGUGGGUCGCACGUUCGAGCCGUGCCGAGAGAG
rnacentral:tRNA from 1 species